rnacentral:misc_RNA from 1 species
GAUAAGUCGCCCACAUCGCCUCACGGUCUUCUUUUUUUUGUACUCGUUCCCCGCUCGAUCCAUCUGCCGCCUUUACCACAAUUCACAUCGUAUUCUGCCGAUUCGCUGAGAGCUGAAAUUCGCGGCGAAAUAAUUUUAGCAACUUGUUAUCCGUCCAUGCCAUGCGCGAUAAAAUAUCACAACUAUUUUGCUUGCAAAAAAACGCAUGCAAAAAUAAUACAACAGAUAAUAGAGGACAUAAUGUGCCAACAAAAGCAGCGAACAACGGGACAAUGUGCGCCAAUGGGACUAUUGGGACAGAAGGGCCCGAAGCGACAGAGACCGACUCAUCAGGGACCGGGCGGAUGCGGAAGCCGCUGGAGAGGAAUGGCUCAACGCAGAACGACGCUGUUCACCUCGAGAGAAGGCUGGGCCUCUUCAGUGGGGUGGCUUUAAUUGUCGGAACUAUGAUAGGGUCUGGAAUAUUUGUGUCUCCCUCCGGUUUACUGGUUCGUACUGGUUCCGUUGGAGUUAGCUUUGUAAUCUGGCUUGCCUGUGGUGUACUCUCGCUUCUGGGCGCUCUGGCAUACGCUGAACUUGGAACGAUGAACACCUCGUCUGGUGCAGAAUGGGCAUACUUUAUGGAUGCCUAUGGACCGGCGCCGGCGUUCCUGUUCUCAUGGGUAUCGACAUUGGUGUUGAAGCCAUCUCAAAUGGCUAUAAUAUGCUUAUCAUUUGCACAGUACGCCGUUGAGGCCUUUGUGACAGAAUGUGAUCCGCCCAGGGGUGUCGUGAAGAUGGUCGCACUGGUGGCUAUUGUGAUGAUACUGUUCGUGAACUGCUACAGCGUUAACCUGGGCAUGGCCGUGCAGAAUGUGUUCACCGCCGCCAAGCUGGUGGCCGUCGUGAUCGUGAUCUGUGGCGGGGCCUGGAAGCUGAUGCAGGGCAACACGCAGCACCUGUCGAAUGCAUUUAAUGGACCGAUGCCUAACGUCGGAGCGAUUGCCACGGCAUUCUAUACGGGCUUGUGGGCCUACGACGGCUGGAACAACCUCAACUACGUCACCGAGGAGAUCCAGAAUCCCAGCAAGAAUCUGCCGCGCUCAAUCAUCAUCGGCAUACCGCUGGUGACGCUCUGCUAUGCGCUGAUCAACAUCUCCUAUCUGGCGGCCAUGUCGCCCCAGGAGAUGAUCGAGUCGGAGGCAGUGGCCGUCACCUUUGGCAAUCGCAUACUGGGCGCCAUGGCCUGGCUGAUGCCCCUGAGCGUCACCAUCAGUACGUUUGGCAGUGCUAAUGGCACUCUGUUUGCCGCUGGACGUCUCUGCUUUGCCGCCAGUCGAGAGGGUCACUUGCUGGACAUUCUCUCGUAUGUCCAUGUGCGACGCCUCACCCCAGCCCCGGGCCUGAUAUUCCACCUUCACCGCCUGGAUAUUCUACGGCGGCGCAAUGCUGGCCCUGAUCGUGAUGCGCUACACCAAACCCAACUAUCCACGGCCAUACAAAGUGCCGAUCAUCAUUCCCGUUGUGGUCUUGGUCAUAUCCAUCUACCUUGUGGCGGCCCCCAUCUUUGAGACGCCUCGCAUUGAGUAUCUGUACGCCCUGCUCUUCAUAUUUGCUGGCCUCAUCUUCUACGUGCCGUUCGUCAAGCUGGGCAUGACACCGCGCUUCAUGAACAAGGUGACGCUGUUCUUCCAGCUGCUGUUGGAGGUGGUGCCCACCUCAUCGAUGGCCAUGUUCGAGUGAACAAAUGCUCAAAAAGGGUAAAACGUGUCAGAGAGACAAGCACGCAAACAUUCAAACAUUAUUAACUAUACAAGCAAGAAUACGAAGAAUAUAAGAAAAUAAGAAUACUAUUUGAAGUAUAGAUGCGGUUGAGAGACACUCGCGAAGCAGGGGAAAGCAAAUAGCAACCUAUAUUGAUAUAUAUACUAUAUAUAUUGACGUUGUCGUUGACAAACAAAAACAAAAACAAAAAACAAAAACUAUUUGGAAUAGUCUUUUUAUGCUAUGAGCUGGUUACAUUCAAAGGUUAUAUAUGCAUACACUAUACAGAACUAAGUAUAAAAUAUACACCCUCCCCAUACAUAUAUCUAUAUAUCAAAAGGUAGCGCGCCUAGGCAAAGUUGCAUAGUCGAUAAAACACACAAAUAAAUAUACAUAUAUAUGUGUAUAUGUAUGAACUACUCAACAUAUACAUAUAUUGUAGAUUUAAGAUUGAGUGGAAAUUUAAACAAUCCGGAAAUGUCCUUGCAAUGCGGCCCAGAGAUGAUGCCUUUCGAGUUAGGUGCACGGUUGAAGUACAGUCCCCCGAAUGACAGACAAGAGACACCACCAAAACGAGUACAGUACCCACCUAAAAACUAUCCACAACAUCUGGCAACACUCUCGCCGCAGACGAGGCAGACGCCGCCGCCGCAAAGCAUGCCACUACUGUAUUGUUUCGCUGUUUUUUUUUCGAGUUAUAUACAAGUUGAACGAUCUAGAGAUCUGUUUGGAAUAGCAAUAUAUAUGUGUAUAUGUAUGUGGGGAACUUAAGGAUAAACAAAUAGGAAGAAAACCAGAAAAUGCAAAAAAAAAAAUAAAUAAAAAAACCAAAAUAACGAAAGGAACGUUUCAUACUGGAAGAAGGAGACGAGACGCGUGUGCGAAUUGUGAAUUGUAGGACUGCAAAAUAGGCAUUAAAGAUUUCUAACUGAUAAAAAACAAAACGUAGGGAUCGCUAGGGAAGCAAUGAGAAAAAAUACAAAAACAAAAAAAUAGCAAAAAAAAAACUUACAUUAUUAAUAUUGAUGGAUAUUUGUUUACGAAUCUAUCCAGUAUAUUUUUUUUUUUAUUUUUUUUAUUCAUCGUCUAUAGAGGUUUGAGAAAUUGUUGUCUUCAGACCUAAAAACUAAAUGUUUAGAUGAUUAAAUCUCCUUUUUUUUAUAUACCUUUCAGUGAUUUUUUUUUAUUAUUUUUUUUUGCGCCUACGCGCACGAGUUAGAAAAAGACAGACAGACAGAUGCCACGGGUGUGUGGUCUCGCUCGCACCCACAAAAUGAAUUUAAAAUGUUUGAUUUUUUUUCUCGGUUUCUGUUUUCCAUUUCUUGGCGAUGCUUCUCUAUCAAUUGUCUGAACCGAUAUACAAUACAAACAUAUAUAUACCUACUAUAUAUCUAUAUCUUUAUAUAGGGACACUACAGCUAAACUCACAGACACACACACACAAAUACGAGUAGAUAUUUGUAUAAUUUGUUAAGUUUAUAAAUUUUAUAAUUUUUAUUACAAUUACAAAACUAUUUACAACGGAGAUAAAUCGGUAACCAGAAACAAAUCGAAAAUCUCUAUCUAUACAUGUACCUACCACAUAGAACAUAAAUGAGUAAAGAAUUGUAUUAUGUAAAACCAGAAAUUAAUGAAAUAAAGUUUUUAAAAC